UUGAGGCAAUUCGUUUGCCUUCGGCGGU
rnacentral:piRNA from 1 species